CGGGCUAUAGCGCAGCUUGGUAGCGCACUUGUCUGGGGGACAAGGGGUCGCCGGUUCAAAUCCGGCUAGCCCGAC
rnacentral:tRNA from 1 species